GCGCCCAUAGCUCAACUGGCAGAGCAUCUGACUCUUAAUCAGGCGGUUCGGGGUUCGAGUCCCUGUGGGCGCA
rnacentral:tRNA from 1 species